UGCUGCGGCGGCUGCAGCUCAGCUUGCCCGGGGCGGGAACUCCCCUUUCUUUCGCCUCCCAGCGCCCACACCCUGCCUUCUACCUAAUUCUUCCCUGGAUAAUAGCACCCUAACGACAGCAGUCAUGAUAAUAAGGUCAGAACGACAGGGUUGGUUUGUUUUGAUCUACAGAAGGAAAAACAAACAAACAAACAGCAGCCUAACACAUCUCUGAAAACUGCAUCGCAAAAUGGAAGAGACAGAGGGUCCCAUUACUGUUUCAAAAGAGAACCAUGAAAGCUGAAUGCAGAGGAUGGUAGUACCAUUAGCUGAAUGGAGCUGGGUCCUUGACAACAUUGCUUGGAGGAAACACCAGGAAGGCCUCACGAAUCCAGCUGGACUCUUAGGAGUCCCUCUUUCCACAAUAUGCCAGCAAAUUUGGAAAACUCAGCAGUGGCUGCAGGAUGGAAAAAGGUCAGUUUUCAUUCCAAUCCCGAACAAAGGCAAUGCCAAAGGAUGUUCAAACUACCGCACAAUUACACUCAUCUCACAUGCUAGUAAAGUAAUGCUCAAAAUUCUCCAAGCCAGGCUUCAACAGUACGUGAACUGAGAACUUCCAGAUGUUCAAGCUGGAUUUAGAAAAAGCAGAGGAACCAGAGAUCAAAUUACCACCAUCUGUUGGACCACUGAAAAAGCAAGAGAAUUCCAGAAAAACAUCUACUCCUUUAUUGAUUAUGCUAAAGCCUUUGACUGUGUAGAUCACAACAAACUGUGGAAAAUUCUUCAAGAGAUGGGAAUACCAGACCACUUAACCUGCCUCCUGAGAAACCUGUAUGUGAAGCAACAGUUAGAACCAAACACGGAAUAGCGGACUGUUUCCAAAUUGAGAAAGGAGUAUGUCAAAGUUGUAUAUUGUCACCCUGCUUAUUUAACUUAUCGGCAGAGUAGAUCAUGUGAAAUGCUGGGCUGGAUGAAGCACAAGCUGGAAUCAAGAUUGCCAUGAGAAAUAUCAAUAACCUCAGA